rnacentral:lncRNA from 12 species
GAUCUACAUUUCCUAUAAGCCCCAGGAGAUGUUCAGACUGCUGCUCAGCAGACCACAUUUUAUGAGCAAGGGGCAAGCCCCAGGCCUUAGGCAAGAGUAUGUACAUUAAGUGUGAGAAGCAUUGAUAUGGUGUCAAGAGUGAUUCUCAGACUUGGGCUAUAUGUUAGAAACACCUGGGGAACUUAAAAUGUGGAUCUAUACCCGAAGAUUUUGAUUUAAUUGUUUUGAAGUACAGCCUAGGCAUUGAUUCCCUGGGCAACUCAAAUAUACGGCCAAGUUUGAGAACUCCAGAUUUAUGUCUGAACUCUAGAUGGAUGCUUCUCAAAGUAUGGUUCCUGGGCUAGCAGCAUUAACUUCACCUGAGAACUUGCUAGAAAUGCCAACUCUUCGGUCCCACCCCAGACCUUCUGAAUCAGAAACUCUGAAAGCAGAGUCCAGAAACCUGUGUGUUAACAAGGUCUCCAGGUGAUUCAGGAGUAUGGUAAGUUUGAGAACCAGGGCUCCAGUAGAGAGCUUGUUAAUGCACAGAUUGCCGCCCCUCUUUCCCAAGUUCUCAACUCCAUAGGUCUUGCGUGGGGCCAGAAACCUUACUUUGAGGCUGCAGGUCUACAUGCAGGAGAUCAUGGAGAGAGAGAAAGAGCAAUUAUAGCUUCGAAAGACCCUAGGAACAAACUUAACUGGAAGAGAACAAAGAAUGGGCUCAAAAACACACAAUUAGAAGAUGUCAUUUCCAGUCUUGCCGUGGCUCUCCUAAUUACAAAGCCAGAUGUGCCACUGGGGCCCAUUGCUGUAGACUUCCACACCACUGAUUCACAGGCAACUGAGACCCAAACAUCCAAUCUUGCAGCAUGUGACCAAGAUACCAUCUCCAGUUUGUCACAAUACAUUCUAACAAGCGAGUAAUUUCUAUGCAGUUCUUGCCUGUCUUGAGCACUGAAUCAGCAAAAGUAAACACAUAAAGUGGACAGUUUUAUCAUCACAAUUCUUACCAGUCACUUUCCCUAAGGGGACAUGGGGAACAAUUGAAUCCUCUGUUCCGUUAUCCUGCUAUUUUUGAGUCUUAGUGGCAUGUGGCCUGUCUAUCAUACCUAAAAGUACUCAACCUCCAGAAAACCUUUUUUUCCAAUUAUAGGCUUGAAGGCAUGCUAACUUUUCUGUGAAGAAGAGCACUGUUCAGACCAAAGGGGAGUGACUACCUUCUCAGUGAAAUUCAGAAAAAUGGAGCAAUGACAGUAAUAACCCUUUGUAAUGACGUAUGUCAGUGUUCCCCCCACUCAGGCAGCCUGGUUGAUAUUAACAAAAUAUGAAGGCAUGAAACAGGGCUUGGAAAUGAGCUCAACUGUCUUGGCAGUGAUUUACUGUGCUAAGAAAAAGGUGAUACUAGACAUUCAUUUGAAAUGUUUUUGACAUUGGGAAUGCAUGAGGAGCACAGGUAAAUGUUCUUUAUUGCCAAAGGGCUGUAGCUCUUUCUCCCUACUCCUAGUUUAGAGUUACCAGACAUCCAAAGGAAGGGAAGGAUCAUUGCUUCCUUUGUCUGACUUGUCCCUCAUCAAGGGAAAAGGACAGUGAUGUUGCUUCAGGAGAUCGAGUGGAGUAAGAGCCUCAGAACUACGUGGAGAUUUGAAACAACUAUAGAGACCAUUAUUUGCAACCUGAAAAUACUUUAUCUUGAUUUUUAUAUGUUUGUAUACAAAUUGCAUGAAACAAAACAAGAAACUACUAACAUUCAUACUGUGAGUUGGAGAAAGGGCUUUCAGAAAGGGUUUUAUCCAGCAGAGAAGGUUUUUUGAAACUUCAAUGAUUUUCUGCGAUCGAUCUGUCGAUAAGGUAUGAAUCAUCUUCCCC